rnacentral:rRNA from 1 species
GCGCGAUACAGGGUGAGAGCCCCGUACACAAAAGCGCAUGUGCUGUGAGCUCGAUGAGUAGGGCGGGACACGUGGUAUCCUGUCUGAAUAUGGGGGGACCAUCCUCCAAGGCUAAAUACUCCUGACUGACCGAUAGUGAACCAGUACCGUGAGGGAAAGGCGAAAAGAACCCCGGCGAGGGGAGUGAAACAGAACCUGAAACCGUGUACGUACAAGCAGUGGGAGCCCCACCACUAAGCCAGUGGUGAACUCCACAUACGCAUCCUUUGCUGAGGAUACGGUUAACGGAGCGAAAGCGACGUUUAACCGCAAAAGAAGCAGAGGGGGCUUAGUGGUGGGGUGACUGCGUACCUUUUGUAUAAUGGGUCAGCGACUUAUAUUCUGUAGCAAGGUUAACCGCAUAGGGGAGCCGGAGGGAAACCGAGUCUUAAUUGGGCGUUAAGUUGCAGGGUAUAGACCCGAAACCCGGUGAUCUAGCCAUGGGCAGGUUGAAGGUUGGGUAACACUAACUGGAGGACCGAACCGACUAAUGUUGAAAAAUUAGCGGAUGACCUGUGGCUGGGGGUGAAAGGCCAAUCAAACCGGGAGAUAGCUGGUUCUCCCCGAAAGCUAUUUAGGUAGCGCCUCGUGAAUUCAUCUCCGGGGGUAGAGCACUGUUUCGGCCAGGGGGCCAUCCCGGCUUACCAAUCCGAUGCAAACUGCGAAUACCGGAGAAUGUUAUCACGGGAGACACACGGCGGGUGCUAACGUCCGUCGUGAAGAGGGAAACAACCCAGACCGCCAGCUAAGGUCCCAAAGUCAUGGUUAAGUGGGAAACGAUGUGGGAAGGCCCAGACAGCCAGGAUGUUGGCUUAGAAGCAGCCAUCAUUUAAAGAAAGCGUAAUAGCUCACUGGUCGAGUCGGCCUGCGCGGAAGAUGUAACGGGGCUAAACCAU